ACCCUGCAAAACAACUGGUGUUAGACAUCUUUUACAGGAAAUGAUCCAAAGGAAGGUUGAUUUUUGCAUCUCUAAACGUUGCUAAAAACAAAGACCGGGCUGAUUUGUCGUAAAAUCGGUUUAUAUCAAUUGACGAUAGAGAAACUCAUUUCUUCGGAAUACUUUCAGGAAUAUAUUUCCUAUUCCAUCUCUCAGACUUUGUUUGAUACACGUUAGGUUCUCGAAAAAAGGAAAGGUUCUCUCCGUGGAUUGUGGAUUGAAGUACAGCAUAAAUAUCACCAGCCCAUGGAGAAAUUACACAAUCCAACAGCAUAUAUGCUAUCUAAAACUAUAUAUAUCUUAUAACGACUUAAACUUUUGAAAAAAUUUAUACUAAAUAUCUAUAUAUGUAUAUUUUUCAGCAAUCUUUAAGGAUGGACUAACAAUGACGCAUACGAUUUUACUGUAGAAGGUUGAUGCCAAUUUUUGUUCGGUAUGUUAAUGAGAGGCCCAGUGCAAUGCAAUGCCCUAACAAGGGAAGGAGGAACAGACUCCAAAAAUAGAGGCUGUGCUUCCAGAUGUAUCGAAAAAAGGCUUACGCGAGUAAAGUAAGAAACAGAUAGAGUAUAUCAAUAGCCAAUCAAACAUCAUAACAGUAACCUUUGACUGAGGUAUGGAUGAUAGACAUUUCUAACGCAGAUUAAUUUAUCGAUUGCUUUGCCUCGAGUAAAUUUGUCUACAACCUCUCCAGAAUAUUGAACUGGUGUGUCUGUAAGUAGAACCAUGUGCACGUGACGAGAACAGCUUUUAAUAAUCUAAUAAAAUAACGGUGUUAUAUCAACCCCCUAUCGACCCCAGCAUAAUUACAUUUAACGUUGUGAAUUAACUUUGUAUGUUCAAAAGGUUUGGAAUGUAGUUAUUCUAUUGUGUGUGCACAAACAAGUGAUAGGAAUAUGAGUUAUCCAUAUGUUGAUUGUCGAAACCGGAGUUUGUUCUAGCUUACUAGCUGAUCAAUCAGCUGAAGUAUCUAGGACCGUGAUCAGUAGUUACCUUGUCAACUGGGUAUUUUUGUUCUGAUACUUUUGCAAAUAUUGCUUCUACUUUGGUGAUUUCUUGUCUGCAAGGCUUCUCUAUAAAAGAUUCCACCUUUUGCAAUUCUAUCGGUGAAAUGAGUUAUGCUGUAAAGAUUGUUAAUGACAGUCAAUUCAUGGUACAGCGGGACAGUAAUCCCUCCUUCUGUAUAUGAAUUAAUUGCAAGUUAAAAGAUAUUAUAUUUUUUUAAUAGUAAUCUGCUUCAAGUUGGUAGAGUUGUGAACGGUAUAGGUCUAAUGCAAGUAUUUUUGGAGGAUAUCAAGUGGAUGAGGCCAAAUGAAACGCACCAGCAUGCAUAUGUAUCUAAUCUUAUCACUUAAGUUAUAAGUUGGAACGUGGAUCAAUGUCCUGUUUCAAGAAAAAAAUAUCAAGUUGACACUUAAAAGUGACACUUUUGGACAACAAGGUACGACUGAAUUAAUGACUUUAAGCAAUGGGGAAGACAUGUUAACCCGGUAAGUAAUUAUAAAAUAGCUACAGGAUGAAUACGGUCCUAUUGAAAACAAGCACGCUUCGUGGCAAAAAGAAAAUCUGAGAAAACGCCCCCUAAUAAAACUCCCGGUUUAAAGCGUUUUUAGAUUCUAAUGCUAAAACUGUGAAGGGGCCUAUUUUGUUCACAGACUGAUUAAAAAAGGCUCCAUCUUAAGGUCAACGAGGUUGAAAAAGACGUGCUGUUAACCAGCUGUGUGAACACAAUCCAAUCAACCCAAUCUGAACCUUACGCUUCUUAGCGAAUUCUAUUUCCGUACUCAAAGGCCAAUAGAGUUCUCAAGUGUGACGUCACAAAAAAUUGUUUUUAGAACUUUCGAAUUUUGACCACAUAACACGAAAGAACAUCAUAAAAUACUCCCAUGUAUGCAAAAUCAGUUAAAUUUCACAAAAAAUUGGGUGAACUAUGGCCAAUAGAAGAUUUGAAGUUUGCUAACGGAUUACUGCUAUUUUGGCUCAGUUCAUAAAGUUAUGAACUGAGACCAAAUUACAGAGGUUUGAUGGCGCUAGAGCUUGUGCUCAUCUGGUUAUAUCUCAGCCAAUUUGUAAUAUUUUUAACUGAUUUUGCAGAUUUAGGGGUAUUUUUUAUAAUGCUCUUUCAGGUUAUGGGAAAAAUUUCAAAAAUUCUAAAAACAGAUUUUUGUGACGUCAUCACUUGACAACUCUAUUACUUGUUGGUUGUACCAUUCGUUUGUUCGCUUAUGUCAUUUCUAGCCUCGUAUGCAUGAUUUCGAGAGUAAAAAAGUAUACUGCAUAAGGUACUAAGCCACAAUAUUCCUAUAUCUUUUUACAAAGACACAAACAUACCCUUUUCUGCUGGAUAAGAAGCUGCUUACCUAGAAGCAUUUUGUCUAACAUAUGUUUUCUGUAUUUACAUUCGCAUCGCAAAUACAAACCUUGCCCAUCUCGUCUCUAGUCGAUUUCUUUAAUCAUAUAGUCGGUGGAUCAACAAAGUGGGAAGUUUGACAAGUAUCAACACAGGUAUAAACAUUUUUAUGGAUCCCUUUGAAACACAGGACCUGGAUCUUGUAGUCCUGGAUUCUAAACCAUCUUAUUUUUCUGCAAGCUAUCACAAUUUAUAUUCUUACUCGGGAUAUUUUUUACCAAAUUAAGUGACAUCGGAAGUUAUGUUUGAGCAUUGUUUUUAAGUGUCGCUUAUAUGACGAGGCUCAUUUUGAAACAUUUUUUUGCAACUGUCACUCAAGCCUGACACACGUUGGUCUAAUAAAGCUUCCCUAUCUUAUAUACAGUGAUGAAACACUUACCUCCACUUGCUCUUGCACAUCAAGUCUUUCCAAAGGCUCGUGCCUCUAAAAUUCGAUAAGAACUCUAGCUAUGAGUUCUACCUGUUACAAUUAUUCACUUUUUUCUUAAACUCCAGUAGGCACAAAAUGACGCACAAUAAUCAAAUUUAAAUGGCUAUCUUCCCAAUGUUAGUGGACUUGCAAUCCGUCAGGCUAUAGAUGUGCGACUUCCUUUCAUUGCCUUGACGCAAGCUAAUAAAAACAUUACGCGAUCUUUUUUCAUAAAAAAAUUCAACUACUUGAUGCUUCUCCGCGUAGCCACGCUUAGUUUUGUAGCGUAUCCCGUUUUUUCUCUUCCUGUUACAUAUCAAUCGGAAUUGUUUUGUUCCAUUUUCAAAGAUGGUGGCCCACCAUGCCCCCGGCUUAAAUUGUUGUGAAGAAACGAGGAAACACAAAAUUUAGUUCCUUUUUUAAAAGAAAAGACACAAACAAUUAAGAAAUCACAGAAAGAGGAGUAACAGCAUAUCACGGAAGAGGGUAGGGCUGCGUUUGUUGGUCUAGGGGCGUUGGUUUGAUUGGCUGCAAAGUUGUCAAUGAUGCCACGGGGAAAAAGAUUCAAUAAACAACUGCACCAAAAAAACUAAAGAUUAAGAACCGCCAGCUUGAUUUUUUUGCAAAUCAAGCACUUUCAAUAUAAGAACAGCAACGUAAAGG